UACGUAGGGCGCAAGCGUUUGUCCGGAAUUAUUGGGCGUAAAGAGCUCGUAGGCGGUUUGUCGCGUCUGCUGUGAAAACCUAAGGCUCAACCUUGGGCUUGCAGUGGGUACGGGCAGACUAGAGUGCGGUAGGGGUGACUGGAAUUCCUGGUGUAGCGGUGGAAUGCGCAGAUAUCAGGAGGAACACCGAUGGCGAAGGCAGGUCACUGGGCCGCAACUGACGCUGGAGGAGCGAAAGCAUGGGGAGCGAACAGG
rnacentral:rRNA from 1 species